UCUAUUGGAUACCUCCAUUGU
rnacentral:piRNA from 1 species